UACGUAGGGUGCGAGCGUUGUCCGGAAUUAUUGGGCGUAAAGAGCUCGUAGGCGGUGUGUCGCGUCGGCCGUGAAAACCUGCAGCUUAACUGUGGGCUUGCGGUCGAUACGGGCAUCACUGGAGUUCGGCAGGGGAGACUGGAAUUCCUGGUGUAGCGGUGAAAUGCGCAGAUAUUAGGAAGAACACCGGUGGCGAAGGCGGCCCACUGGUCCGGUACUGACGCUGAGGUGCGAAAGCGUGGGGAGCAAACAGG
rnacentral:rRNA from 1 species